CCCUGACCUCACCGCCUGGCAACUAAGACUUUGCCUGAACCCAGUGCUGUGGGGCAGAGCGCUGUUUGUCGCGGUGUCUCCGAGUUCUGACCCAGAAGCUGCCUGAACACCAGGAGACACCUGCAGGCCUUUCUGUGUGCUCUCCUCCACCCUCCUCUUCCAUCUUCUCUUCGGAAGUCAGACCCUGGAGUCUUCUAGGAGAAAAGUGACUUCCAGGAAUACAGUCACAACACAAGCCUUGUGGAUGCAGUGAGAGAUGCUUCUCCUUUAAGAGGAGGCGCUGGCCUGCAAGCCCCAUCCUGACCCCACAGAGACCCCUCUGUUCAUAUGCAGUGGGCUGCUCACACUGCCAAGCCUGAGUGCAGGACUCUCAUCUGUAAAGAGGAGGCUUUGCCUCUUCCCUCAGGAUUUUUCUUCUGAACCUCGGGUUCAGACCCAGACUCCUUGUGUUUAUUCCCAGAAGAUGCAUCUGUGGCUCCAGCCACAGAACUGAAGUGGAAAGAAGAGGAGAGAUGGGUGGGGGCUCCUGAAGAGAGUGACCCAUCACACAGAGCAACAAAUGUGGUGAGCACUGGUGUGCACUCCAGUCACCUCCCCAUGCAGGUCUCCACAACAGCCCAGCAACCUCUCCAGGAUUCGGAGGCUCCUGUUUCAGUGAACCACUCUUAGGUGCUGUGAGUGUUUUCAAGGGAACUUGAAGCUCUUAGGUUCCAUCCUGACUGACCUAAGGAUGCAGUUGGGAUAGGCAUCCCCACCGAAAGGAUCUGUCUCUGUUACUUUUCUUCUCAUUUAUUCUGUUUUUUUGAGACAAGGUCUGUCUGCACUGCUCUGGUUGUCCUGGAACUUACUAUGUAGACCAAGCUGACCUUGACCUCCCAGAGAUACAUCUGCCUUUCAUCCUGAGGGUUGGGUGUCUUAGUUUCCCUUUCAUUGUUGUAAAGAAACACCAUGACCAAGGCAACAAUUCUAGAAAGAAACAUUCAAUAGUGGCUGGAUAACAGUUUCAGGGGUUUAGUCCAUUAUAACAGGAAGCAUGGCAGCUGCAGGCAGACAUGGUGCUGAAGGAGCUGAGACUUCUACAUCUUGAUCCAAAGGCAGCCAGGAAGAGGCUCUCAUUCCACAAUGGGCAGAGCAUGAGCACAGAGACCUCAAAACCCUUCCUCUCAGUGACACACUUCCUCCAACAAGGCCACGCCUACUCCCACAAGGCCACACCUCCUAAUAGUGCCACUCUUUUUGGACCAAGCAUCCAAACACAUCAGUCUAUGGGGGCCACCUAUUCAAUCAACAACAACAGGAUUGAAGGCCUGUGUUAGCACACUAGUUCUAGUUAGUUUUUAUUACUGCCAUAAGACACUCUGACCAAGGUAUCUUAUAAAAGAAUAUGUUUAAUCUGUUAUAUAGUUUCAGAGGAUUUGAGUCCGUGAUGGCAGAGGAGAGGUGUGGUGGGGGAACAGCUAAGAGCUCCCGACUUGAUUUGCAAGUAACAGACUGAGACACUGUGAACAGUGAAAGUCGAUUUUUAAAAAAUUUUGAUAUAUAUAAUAUAUGUAAUAUAAAAUAUUAUUGUAUAUAACAUAUAAUAUUGUAUAUGAUAUAUAUAAUUUAUUCAUAAAGUACCUGUCUUCAGACACCAUAGAGGGCAUCAGAUCUCAUUACAGAGGGUUGUGAGGCACCGUGUGGUUGCUGGGAUUUGAACUCAGGAACAGCCAUUGCUAUUGACCACUGAGCCAUCUCUCCAGCCCAGUAAAAGUCUUUUAAAACCUCAGUGCACACACCAGUGGCACACAUCCUCCAUCAAGGCCACACCUCCCAAUCCUCUCUGAACAUGGCCUCAGCUGGAUUUGAAGGAUUCAUUCCCAUGAGCCUUUGUGGCUGUUCUCAUUCAAACCAGCACACCAGUCACUGUAAGUGUAAGAGGCCAGCAGGGUUCUGGAGAUGUGUCCAGUGCAGUCUGAGGGAAAUGCCCUCACACAGGGCACUCUGCUGAGUUAGGACUCCCCCUUUGUCUCCGUCUCCUCCUGCUCAGCCCCUCCGUGUCUCUGACCCUCAGGUCUCACCCCAUCCGUGCCCAGCUCCCCUCCCUCCUGAGCUCUGCACUGACCCUGUCUCUUCCUUGGCCUCUGGUUUCUCUAUGGCAUCAGCCAGCAACUGUGAGGCAGCUGUGUGGUUCCUGAGGCAAACAUUCCAAUGGUGGCUGGGGAGAUGGCUCAGCAGCCAGGAGCACUUGUUGCUGGUGCAGAGGAUCCAGGUUGAGUUCCCUCAGCACACGGUGGCUUCCACCAUCUGUGACUUCAGUCCCAAGGGAUGCAAUGCUUGUGCACCUACAUAUUUAUAUGCACAAAGAGGACAGGUCAUGAAAAUAAAAUAUAAAAAUAUGAUUUUAAUAAUCCUGCCUGUCUCUCCCCUACACAUCGAGAGUGUGAGGCCAGGGGCAGAGGGCACAGUGCUGUUCAGACAACAGUGGACCACCAGCCAAUGAAGGGAGCUCUGUGUUAGGAAUUUUGAGAUGGUUGAAAUAGAGUGUAGUGUAAUGACAAUUUGCAAAACAGCACAAAAUUUAAAGUACAAAAGAUCUUUCAUUGUAUGGACCUGCUGUGAACAGAGGAACACGGCCUCAUCCCAGGAUGAAGACACAGUGUGUGCUGCUCUUUGUAAUUCAGCAGAUGUCAGUUUUGAUUCCCCAUGAACAGGAUAAAUUCCACUCAGAUGGUUGGAUACUAAUUUAUAAGAGACCAGAACAUCCAAACACCCAGAAUGUUCCUCAGAGAAAGGUGUCCCCUUCCCCCAUCUUCCCUCCCACUGCUGACCCUCCAGAUCUCACCUGUUGAAGAUGGAGUAGCGUCCCAUUCUUGUCCAAUGUCGCCCCCUGGUGGAAGAAACAGAGAGGACGGAGUCUGAGCCCAAGGAGCUGAGGGUAAAGGGGACCCAGGCUGACUGAGCUGCCCCAGGGCUUCCUUGCUGUCUGUGCUUCUCCAGGGUCUCGGGUCUCAUGCUGCCCUGCUCUCAUCACACUUACAUCCAGAAGAACUUUACAUGCUUUUCCAGCCGUGGGAAGAAAACGCCCUGUAAGAGAAGAGGCAGGAAGCAGAGCCCUGAGUGCUCAGAGGAGCUGCAAAGCCCCAGAGUAGUUGCAGAACUCUGACCUGGACUAUGAUGUUGAUUGUUUGAUGUCAGCUACAUGGGGGGUUAACUAAAACCCCAAAAUGGAGGGCAACAUUUAUGAGGUGGUUUUGCUUAAGGUGAAGUGGGAAGGUCAGUUUCUGAUCCUUUGAUGGAGGAAGAGACACCUGUAAUCCUGAUUAUUUGAGUGGAGUCCCUCCCCGUUUCUAAUCUGGCCACACCUUCUGCUGGAGGCCUCAGUGAAGACAUGGAAGGAAUCGCUUGCUCUUUGUCUCUUGCUCUUGCUCCUGCUCCAGCUCCUGCUGCUUCUGUGGGACAUUCCUGCCUGCCUGUCCUUGCUCUGCAUAAUGACAGCAGACUUACAUUUAUUUAUGGAUGCCUAGGCUUCAUGCUGGGCCUGUCCAGGCUUCUCCUAACUCAGUUAUCCCAUUUACACCAUCCUAAGUUCUGCCAUGUGGCUGCUCACCUCUCCUCAGAUUCACACAUCCCGACUCCUCUGAGUCUGGGUGGUGACUCCCCAUGCUUCUCUCUUCCCAGAGUUCCUCCCUCUGACCAGAAUCCUGCCUUCUGCUCUCCUUGGCUAUAGGACAUAGGCUUUGUAUCUCAUCCUUCAGAAGGUGCUUUAGGUAGGCAGGGUAGGAGGGAGAGGCUUCCUCACACAGGGCACAACGACAUUAUCUCAACAUUGUUCCCAUUAGUCCUAUAAAAGGCAAAUCUUUCUCUGACAUCAUCAACUAUAUACAGUGAGAACAAGGAUAAAAACAUAAUUAUAAAUAGUUAACAAUUAUUAAUUCCCCAUUCAGAAUUAUUAUUUCUUUAUUUAAUUGAUUAAGAUUAAUUAAUUUUAUAAUUAAGAAUUUUAAUUAAUUAUUAAAUUAAAAAUAUAAGAAUUACACUCAUGUCUGGUUCAUGUGUAUCUACCAACCAUUGAGAAACUAUUAUGUAUCCUGUGAAUCCGAAGUCCUAUCUGUCCUGCGUCCAAAGUUCUUUGCCUAAUUCCCUUUCCAUUUUAACUUGAAGUUUUCCACCAGAAAAUAUCUUCCUAGACAUAAAUCAUUUUCUUAAAUCUUAAACAACUUAAGGUUAUUGUGAGACUGUAGCUAUCCAGUCUUCCUCCCCAUCAGUGACCUGAGAAGGAUAAAUGUUCCCUGAGAAAACGGGAAGUGCAGAGCAAGCAGCUUCAAAAGCUGCAGAAAUGGCAGAGAUUGCUGGCUGCCUGGACAGUCACCCAAGAUUCUCCUGCAGUGCUGAGGCGUCCAGCUUCAGGCUGCUGGCCCAGUGUAUGGUGGACAUCUUUGUGGAGCAGGAAUAUUGAAGGACUCCCCGACUUGUCUUGGCAAAGCUCACAGUGAUCUUCCUCUGUGUUCUGCUUGUCCCUGUUAGGACAGCAUGCAGUCUGCAGCUGAAGCUUGGGCAGGUUUUGGCUGGUGCCCAGCUCUGCCACAUUUGAAGCAAACUCCAUAUGGAGGUUCCUCGAUGCCCUCCAUCCCCUCUGAACUAGAAUGUGGUGCAGCCAAGAGCAUUCGUGCCUCACUGUUACGGAAAGCCUUGUGUUCAUAAAACAUUCUGAACCCCAUAUCCUGUAGAUGUCUGAGAUUCAAAGACCCCCUAUCUAUGUACAGUGUAUCAGAAUAGGCAAAUGGUGCUUGUUUCCAGCCAUCUACGUGAUGUUUGACUUUAGAAACAUCUACAAGAGGCUAAAGAAAACUUAUUUCUGUAAUUAAUAAAACUUGUUCUAACAUGUCCGUAAGACUGAUUGACUGCCCACUUGCAGUUUUUAGUUUUCUGAACUGUUUGCCAUAGAGACAAGCACUGGGACUUUACAAUAUGUUUACAGUGAGUCUCAUAUGUACGUACCUUAGACAAGAGCUGAGACAUGGACAUGGUAUGUUGUAGCAAGAUAUAUGCUAAAACUUCUCUCAGUUCACAAAAAUCCAGACCACUGUAAAGCAUUUGAGACCAUUAGAUGCUCCUGAGUCUAAACGCAGAGUCAACCGUCCACCCCUGUACCCUGUCAUUCCUUUAUGGUCCUGACGUGGAGACUUCUAGUUUAUUAGGAAAGUCAGUCAGAUCACAGGAUAGUUUGGGGGAGGGCACACGUGAAAGAGGGUUUGCCUGAGGAAGACACAGGUGAAAGCAUCUCUUGGUAAAGCACACGCAUGAAGAAUGUUCUGCUAAACAGACAUCUGAAAGAAGGUUUUCCUGCAGCAGACACAGGGGAAAGAAUGUUCUGCUGUGGCAGACACGUGAAAGGACCUGUGGUGAAGGAGUAUAAAUGUGACCCCACAGGCAGUCGAGGACGAGCCCUGAGCAUUGGGUUUGUUUUGCUCCGCCUUGCUGUUCUUAGUUAAGGACGAGCGAGCGUGGAUUGGUCAGCCUCACAUAGUUGUGCUGAGAUCCUCCACACCUGGGUCCACAGCCAGCAGGAAGAGAGAGAGGUUCUCCAACUGUCUUGGACUUUUGGAGCCACAAUUCCCAUCCAAGUGACAAGUUUCCUCUGCCAAGGCCACAUCCCCUAAUUGCCUUCAAGCACUUCCACUCCCCGAUGACCAUGAACUCAAAUCUAGGAACUUAUGGGAGUGAAUAUUGGAUACAUUUUACUUAUUUUUUUUUUGAGACUGUGUUUCUAUAGUGUGCUUUAUCUUGCACACCUGGCCCUGUAAAAAGUUCCCAGUUGCUGGUCAACUGGCCCUUUAGAAUUCUUAGCUGUUAGAACUGCUUGACACCAUGACAUUAAGUGUUGUUGCCUCUUGGAUUUCAAGAUAGUUCAUUAGAAGGGCAGCUGAGUGUGAGAAAGGAUUGGGGGAGCAGAGUGAGAGGAGAAGCAGUUGGUGCAGAAGCUACAGGGAGACAGUAGAGCCAGGAGGAGCUGACUGAGCAGAGAGGCUAGAACAGUUGUCACAGUCUGGAGCUGCUGUCAUUGGGAAAACUGGAAGAAGGGAUUGAUUAAGUGCCGUGUUGGGGAAUUGAGGGAGGAACUGCUUUUGGGAGAAACAUUAGAAGGACCAGGGUUGGAAGAUGGAAGAAAUUGUUGAAAAGAAUUUAGAUUGACAGGUCUCCUCCUUUCCUCUCUAGUCAUAGGGGGUGAAACCAGGAGGACAAAGGGUGGGGAAAAAAGAACCAACAAAGUAAUGAAGACCAGCUACAUGGCUCUCCGUGUAACCCCGGCUGCCCUGGGACUCACUCUGUAUACACUAGGCUGGUCUCGAACUCACAGAUCUGCCUGCUUCUGGGUAUGCACAACCAAGGCUCAGGAAAUAUUCUUAAUCAAAUCACCUCAGAAGCCUAUGAUAUUUGUGUUUGAUCACAUAAGUGGAAUAAUUGCCAACAAAUGAGAGAAAGGCUACAUUCUAGUGGCAAAAGAGCAUCUCGGCCCAGGAAUCAGUUUCUAACCUUGAGCCAGUUUGCAGAUGCAGAACGCCUUGAAUGAACGAGUGGCCAGGUGACCCUGAAAGUACCACCCUGUUCUCUCCACUGCUCAGUUCUUGGCUGAUCAGCUUUAUUGACAAAGCAGAAAACAGACGGGGAGCAAUGUUUGCACACACUCCAGACAGGACGUUCUUACAGUAAGCAUUCCAGUGCCACGCCCAGUUUAAAACCAGAUGUGCAGAGGCGAGAAAUCGUCAUUUGAGUGACACAAAGGUAAUCUUUACACGGUGCACAAUGACAGUUGUGCUAACAAAGCUGACAAGAGGUGGACGUGUGGUGGCCAGGCUUACAUGCCAACUGGACUGCAUCUGGAGUUAACCCCAACAUGGAGGGAACAUCUGUGACAGGAUUUGCUCAGUUUGAAGUGUGAAAAAUCAACUUCUAUAUGGAUUUUGUGGUAGGAAGAUACAUUUUAAUCCAGAGUAUCUGAGAUGGAGACCCCCACCCUAAAAUGUACCACACCUUCCGGUGGACGCUACAUAAGGACACGGAUGAAGGAAGCCUUUGCUCUUUGCCUGCUGCUCUGCCCUGCUGGGAAGUUCCUUUCUUCACUGACUUGAGCGCCUACGUCUUUGGGGUGGUAGCUUACACUGAAGGGCAGCUGAGGCGUCCAGCCUUGUGCACUGAGCAUCUACUGAAUUCUUGGAGUUUCUAUUCAUCGUCAGCCAUUGCUGAGUUAUCUGGACCACAGACUGUAAGACAUUAUCAUACAUCAAAUGUAUUAUAUUAUAUAUAACAUAUAAAUGUUCGUUCUAUACAUUCUGUUACUCUUGAGACAUGGCUAAUACACAGACCCAGCAAGGCCAGGAAGCACUGGUCUGCCCUGUGGUGAACAGAAAUGUGUGGUUUAAUGAGAAUGGCCCCCCAGGCUCAUAGAUGUGAGUGCUUGGUCCCCAGGGUUGGGCACUGUCAGGAAGUGUGGCCUUGUGGGAGGGACUGCGUCACUGAGGUGGCUGAGGAGUUUCAAAUGCUCAGGCCAGGCCCAGGGUCUGGCUCUUUCAGCUGCCCGCGGAUCUGGAUGCAAACCCUCAGCUGCAUCUCCUGCAUCUUGUCUGUCUGUCUGUCUGCUACUGUGCUCCCCACCAUGACAAUAAGGAACAAUUAGGAUCGUGGGUGCCAUUGGGUGGCCAUUCAUGUUGUUUAUCUAAGGGACACUGAGGCCAAUGUUGCAUGGACAGGUGAAUAAACUUAGGGAUCUUCAGGUUUGGUUUCAGAUGCACAGGGUGGAGGAUUCUAAGAGGCCUCCCAAGAUAACAAGAGGGUGGGAAAGAUCCUGCUGCCCUGGGUGAGAGAGGGGAAGCAGAACGUCACUGCAGCCUGGAGCCAUGGGUGCCCCCAGACUCAGGGAGAAGAAAAUGAGGACCAAGCUGUUCAGUGGGUCAUCACCACAACUCAGCAGCCUGGCCACACCUAAGAGUCCCGGUGCCUGGUGCCAGGACUUUUGUAGAAGCCAGAAGUGGAAUGAGAACCAAGCUCUCAUAAAGGAUCUUAUUCAUAGGGAAGGGUUGGGAAUGGAGUCUCAGAAGCCAUGAGGGCCUAGAGGAGUUGCAGGGUUAGAGUUGCAAGUUACAGGCGUCUCUAACAUGAGAGGGUAGGAGAGGGCAGGAAGAGUCACAGUCGCCCAGCAGGGCCUGAGGAAGUUGCAGGGUUACAGCUCUGAAUGUGGAGGGAUGGAGGGAGGACCAGAAAAUCACAGGGCCUAAGGAAACUGCACUGAACACCAGGUUGACCUAGCAGAGCUGUGAGAGAGGUAGCUCUGAAGGAAAAAUGAGCAAAGGAAUGGUAGGGAGCGCCAUGGCACAGGAGAACCUAAGGGAACUGCAGAGUGGCAGCUCCAAUGGUAGGAGAAUGGGGCCAGGUAAAGAGGGCCAGCCUUAAAGACUGAGGUACCAGUGAAGGCAAAUACUUGAGACCAAUGAAGCAUUAGACAGCCAGUUAUGCAAGCCCGCCAUCACUGUCCAUGGCGUCCUGUUACACUCCCUCCAAACAUCCCAUGUCCUCCCAUAGCUCAGGAAAACACAAUGUGAAUCUGUCUUAGCAAACUCCAUGUGUGUCUGUCUCAGUUAGCACGUCUAAAACUUCCACUGCAAUCUGCCAAUUUGCCUGAGUCCACAGAAUUGGUAGGAAGCCUCCAGAACACCAUUUCUUUCUGUAAAGUCAGGACAAACAAUGACCAACAAGGAAUGGCCAGGUACCAUCCCCAUCCAGCGUCUUUGCUCUGGUGGGAAGUUCUUCUCAACUGCAGAGAGCUUUUCUGAAGUGCCAUGUAUUUCAAACUUUUGGUUUUCUUAGAAAUUCAGUUGUGUGGGAUGAUAUUUUACUGAGGCAAACGUGUGAAGGAGUGUUUUCCUGAAGCAGACACAAGUGAAAGGACAUUCUGCUAAAGCAAGGACGUGAAAGGACCAUGAUAAAGGAUUAUUUGAUUAUGACACACAGGGAUUGGUUCACCUUACAUUGCUUUGUGGAGCUCCGUUUGUUCAGGCUCCAUAGAGAGAAAUGCACCAGAAAUGUUCUGGUGGUGUGCUGGCGGCUCCCUGCUGCUUCCGUGGACUGGGCUGAUUGGCAGAGUGACGUCAAUCUGUGAAUGAUACAGACCUAUGUGAAGUUUGGCUAAGAUAAACUCACAGGCUAAGGCAAGACACUUGGUGAGGCAAGACUUAUGGAGGACAUGUGAAGUUUGGAGGGAGUAUAAAUGGGACCCAAUGGACAGUGACAGGAGGCUUGGAUUGCUUGCACAGCUCUCUUUGUAAUGCUUCUUGGUCUCCUGUCUUCACUGAUCUGCCCUUCCCUGAGAGAGGCAUGCUAAGGGACUUCUCCUGGUGUCUCUGCUGAUCCUGAUCCCUCCUGCUGACUCCUGCCAAUUUGUCUGAGGUCUAGCUGUUUCUGCAAGGUCGUGCUACCACUGCUGCUAUCUGGACACUAAUGAACUGACCUGUGAACUGAACUGCUGAUUUCCUGACAACACAGAGAACACUUGCUCCAAAGAUCAAUUCCUAAACAGGUCCAUUUUCUCUGUAUCCUAUUACCCAUUUUUUCCCACUACCUUUAGUGGGUUGUGGGCUUGAAGGGAGGUUAAAGCAUUUAAGAGACCACAUUAAAGUAGGGAUGAGAAAAAUAUAACAUUACAGCGCCAUCUCUGUGGAGCUGCUGUGCGAGGCAGGAGAGGAGGCGCUGGCACUAUGGACAGCUCCUGUGAGACAGCUCUUGCGGUGGGAUUUGACCAAGACUGUAGGCUGAGGCAGGAAAGGAGUCACCAUUGUGAAUAGCCUCUCCUGACAACAGUAGGCUGAGGCAGGAAAGGCGAUGCCCAACCAUGGACAGCUCCUGUGAUGGUGGCAGGCUGAGGAGAUGUCAGGGCCUCUGCCUAAUAUUAGGAAUGGAACAAGUUUGACAGCUCCUGUCAGGGCAUAUUACUGCAGGCUGGGGCAGAAAGAAGCGAUUUGCUGCACCUUUGUUGGAAUUUGCAGCUAACAGCUUCAGGUGUACAGAACUGAUCAUUGAAAAUAAAAUGCACAUUUUACAAAGGGUGCCAAAUGUGGGGCGAUGCAGAAUGGGCAGGUUUAUUUCAAUUACCUUAGAACAAAGGCAGGAAGAGGAGGAGUGGAUACUUUGUUUCAAAAAGCCAACAGGGUGCUUACUGAGGCUGUUCUUGGGACGUGCCCUGUAUGGUUUUUAGCAGCCAUAUUUUUUCUCCUUUUUCUCAUUUUGUGCUAUUUUGUUUAUAAAAAGUUGAAAGGUUGGUGCUUAUUCCUAUUCAAGGAUUGAUAGGUUUCCUGCUCAAGUAUUGGUGGGUUUUGUGGGAAGUUCAUGGGCUGGGGGUUGGGGGUGGUUCUUUGUUUUGGUUUUGCUUUUGCUUUCUGGGUUUUUUGUUUGUUUGUUUGUUUGUUUGUUUCUUUUGUUUUUUUUAUUUGUUCUGGGAUUGGUAGGGUUUUUUUUUUUUCUUUUUUCAGAUGCACUACCUUUCUCAGAACUGGGCCCAGGGGUUAGGAUAAGAAGUCCUUCCUGGGCGCAGGCAGCUUUGCUGUGGUGCCAUCUCUGUGGAGUUGCUGGGUGAGGCAGGAGAGGAGUUGCCCCCACAAUGGACAGCUCCUGGGGGGCAGCUCCUGCUUCAGAAAAAAGCAGAUGAGCCACCCUGGACUGUGAUGUCUUCAGCCUGAUGAGAGGCCUUGGUGCAGCCAUUUUCUCAAGAGACACAAAUUUUGACAGUCCCUGUGAGGGCAUCUUAAAGCUGAGGUGAGAAGGCAGGGCCUGGCACUGGUUUGACCGAUUUUGCUGUGCACUGCUUAGGGACUACAUGGUGUAGUUUGGAGCCGCUGGUGUUGGGAAAACUGGGAGAAGGGACUAGACUGUAGGAGAACUGUGGGAGGAACGGUUGGGAGAAAUGUUUGAAGAGACGGGGCUGGAAACAGGCAGGAGAAAAGGAAUGGAUACUUUGUUUCAAAAAGCCAACCUUGUGUUUUCUAAGGCUUUUCUUGGGCCAUGCCCCACAUGUAUUUCCACGUCAGUUUUCGUUUCCACUCUCCAUCAUUUGGGGCUAUUGUUUAUAAAACGGAGGAAAGAUUUGACUGAGGAACUGGAAUAAAUACAGGAAGAAAUGGAGAAGCGUGGGAUUCAAAACAUGGAGGGAAAAAGGAAAACAGGAGGGUUCCUCUCUCUCUUCUGAGAAGUAGCAGAGUUGGCUGUGCAACUGGAGAAACUAACAGAGGUAGAAAAGAUUGAAAAAUUUCAAACACAAGAAAAGGGAGAACCAGUAGGCUCAUUCCCAGUGACUGGAGCAGAGAGAGGGAGCUUCCCCCAGGUAGAAAGAGAGGAAGAACCUGGGUCAGAGGGCGGUCAGGUCAAAGUGGAAAGCAGGAGGAUGGUCAGAGGAGACUGCCAUGUUUGGGAGACAGGGAUAAACCCACAGCACCUUUUGAGGGCAGGCUGUCCUGGGUCACAGAAUCCCAACAGCAUUCCAAGUAGUUCCACCACAGCAUAUGCUGGCUAAUGGAGACAAUCCACCCACAUGGUUAUGACAAUACAGCAUGGGGUGCUGUACACAUGAUGGACCUAAGGCAUUUUAAAGACACAAUGAUGUCCUAUGGCAUGCCCUUGUCCUAUGUGAAACAAACUCUAAAUAUUUAGACUACUCAGAAUUGAACUAUUCCCCAAGACUGAGGAGGAUUGGUAACAGCUGUAGCAGAGGCUGGACCUCAGUGGUAAUGGUUGCCAUGAUGGAGAGAAGAAGCCAGGAAUGUGGAAGAGCACAGAGGAGGAGGGGAAUUAACACAGCUCAGGUCCACUUGACAGGGGCUCUGCGCUGCUGUACAGGAACAGGGCAACUUGAGGAUCCAAUCUCAGAACAGUGCUGCUUAGCAGCUUUAAGGGCUGGGAACCAAGUGGAGGAGCCAGGACAGAAGUCCACAUCACUUAGAAAAAUUAUGCAAGUCUCAGGGGAAGCCUUCACUGACUUUUUUUUUUCUUUUGCAAGGAUUAGUUUCAGCUGUGCACAAAGCCAUGUCAGACCCUGAUUCCAGACAAGUGCUGUCUGAGACCUUAGCAUUUGAAAAAUCUUCAACUGUGGCCAGCAGCUCUGCACGGUACUCUGAGGCCCCUGGCUAUUUCCAGUUCCCUGGGUGUAGCCUAGCGAUGGAGGCCCACAGUCACUCAGCAGCUGGCGAUGUUGGGAGGAAGUUGCCAUGUGAGUAGACGGUGAAUGGACACUUCCUGCAUUGAGGUCCGCAGCUAGUGCUUCGGUGGCGAGGCCAAGGCUUCCAAGUCCGCGCACCCGUCCGAGCGCCUGCUAGGAGCCAGUGCACUUUGUUUUGUCACCUUCUUGGGCCGCCAGGGCAACUAUGGCUGUCCUCACCCUGCCGCUGCCACAUUACAUCAGGCAGACACCAGGUGCGGCUCACGGGAGGCCACAAACUUUGAGCCCAGACACGGCUGGGCUGUACACUCUAUGUGCAAUGCAUCCACACAAUUAACUUACAUCCGAUUGAUAAGGGUAUUAACCACCCACGUAGAUAAGAUAAACCUGUCUACAGAAAUCCAUCCCUGAAGAAAUAUUCAUGACAACCUGUGUCUCCAUAGAGAUGCGUGGCUAGGAUCCUUUACGUCUCCCUCCAUGUUGCUUCUCCCUUUCUGCUCCCUUUCUUCUCCCCAAUGAGAGGCCUCAUUUGAUCUUGUGUCUGCCUUCACCUGCAUACAUGGCCAAGAUCUGCAAUGUUGGCAAUCACGAGGCCUUCUCAAAGAAGAGAGAGCCAGGAGAAAGGAUGUCGUGAAGACAGAGAGGUGAGUGGUGCAUUUAACUCUUUUUCUUGUUCUUGGAUUUCUGCAAGAAUGGUGGUUUGUACUUGGACAAGAGAACGCCAAAUACAGACAGAGCUGCUAGGCCAGGUUGUAUCAGGUCAUAAUCAUGGCUCCCUUGACUGGUGUAGUCCAGCGAGAAUUGUGUGGAUCUCAAAACAACCCACGUAGAGCCUGCGGGUGUGCGAUAAAAAUUGGGGCCCUGAUAAGGACCUUGGAUAAUAAUCUCAUCAUUUCUUAAGGUCCUAACAUCAUGGAUUCUGCAUGAAUGGUAGGGACAACCCACGUUCUCCUCAAUCCAUCUGUCUAAGCAGUAGGAACGUUGCUGAUCAGACAAAAGAGCACAAGACAGGAGCAACUUUUCCAGGCCGUGUCUUAAAAUCUGUAAAAUGUAACAUUUUAGCAGAUCGGCAUCCCACAGGUGGGCCAUCAGCCACGGCUCUGAGACAACCAUAUCUCUGAGUUUUAGCAUGGUUGGUAUAAUUUCCUGUCAGGAAAAAAACGCCAGGCAAACGGGGAAGUUACCUCCCUUUCACCUGGUGCUGAAGCCUCACAAGUGAUUUUCAUUGGCUCAAAGGACCGCCCAAAGGAACGUCACCAGCAAGCCGAAUUCAAUCUUUUUCCUGAAAAGAAAAAGAACACGUAUUCUCAGGGAAGAGGUUAUUCCCUGGAUUUAUUAUCAUUAUCAAUUUGUGUUACCAAUCGCUCUGGCAGCCAUCUGACUGCAUCAUUUUCUUGAAAAAAUACAGACUGACCUUAUCCACCAGGUAAGCACUGGGUCAGGUCCACGCCAUUUUUUAUCUGAAGGAUCUUUCCAUUUGACCGAGGCAAACUGUUUUUGUGAAUUAGGGUGCCAAAAGUGAUCUGCAGCUCACUUUUCAUCAGCAUCCAAUUUUUAAAACUUUAAACUAAGAAGGGCAUGGUUUACUAUAUUUCUGGGGGUACCUUUCCUAGGGUACCAUUCUCCCUUUUUAAAUGUUUUCAGUAGUGGUUUUUAAAGACAAAUGUGCUCUUUCUACCAUGCCUUGUCCUUGAGGAUUACAGGGAAUCCCUGUAAGAUGUGCGAUGUGUAACUGUGUACAGAAUUCUUGAAAAUCCUUUGAGAUAUAACCUGGACCAUUAUCAGUUUUAAUUUGUUUGGGAAGCCCCAAGACAGAAAAGCAGUGUAAUAGGUGGGCACUGACCUGUUUGCUGCCUUCCCCAGUUUGUAGGGUAGCAACAAUGAACCCACUAUGGGUAUCUGUACAAACAUGAAUAUAUUGUAAAUUACCAAAUUCUGAGCAGUGUGUGGCAUCCAUUUUCCAGAUCGUAUUUGGUAUCAAGCCUUUGGGAUUGACUCCCAAAUGUGGAGUUGGGAGGUGAGUCUCACAGGAAGGACAUUGUUUGACUCCCUGUCUGGCUUGUUCUCUGGUAAUAUCAAACAUCAAUCUUAAUGUGUGAGCAUUUAAAUGAUGGAAAGAAUGAGCUGUCUGCGCCUGGUGAAGACUUUCAGGUAGGCCAGGGGAGGCGGUGGCUAUGAACUUAGCAGCCCCAUCUGCCACUUCCUUGCCUCAGGUCAAAGGUCCUGGCAGACCAGAAUGGGCCCUAAGGUGUCCCAAGUAACACUUCUUCAUCCAUUUUUGGAUAAGUUUUUGACAACAUAAAAACAAGGUGGCUGUUUCUGAGACAUCGAAUGUGUCCCACAGGUUCUAACAGAGGUGUGGGAUGGGCUAGGUAAGCGCUGUCCAUAUAAACAUUCAAGGAUUCCUCAGGAGAGGCAGAAAGAACUGCAGCACUGGCCUGUAGCUCAACCACUCAGGUGGAGGAGUUUGAGUCUGGAAUUUAACUAUUUUCAUCUUUAAAAGUACAGGCUACAAUGCCAUUAGAGGAUCCAUCAGUAAACACCAGUCAAGCCUCGUCUAAAGGAUCUUUACUAAUAAUUCGGGGACAUAUAAGAGCAUGUGGCUUACAAAAUUGAAUUCGCCUGUCAGGUGGACGAUGGUUGUCUAAAGCUCCUGCCUGAGGCCCAGGCAACAGGCCCUGUGUCUGUGUCCUGUGAAAGCCGGUCCACCUGAGGUUGGAGGUGAGGCUGAAUAACUUCUGCUGGCUCAAUUCUAAAGUGUUUUCUAGCAUUCUCUCUUCCUAAAAUAACGAACUCUGAUACAGCAUCACAGUAAGGUAAUAAAACCUCCUUCGGGGAAGAAGGUAAAUGAAUCCACACCAUAGGGUUACUCUGCCAAAAAAGGCCGGCUGGUGUCAUGGUCAGCUUAAAUGUGCUGAGCACCAAAAGUUGAUAAUAAUUUGUAUGAGUGACAAAUUGUUUGGCGAUGGCAUCCUCGACCUUUUACAGUGCCAAAGGUGCUGACUGAGAAAUUGAUCUUCAGGAUUUAGGGUGAGGAUCUCCUUUGAAUACAUCAAACAAGGGUUUUAAUUCUCUGGUAGUUAAGUUUUAAAUAAGGUCGAAGCCAAUUAAUAUCACCCAACAAUUUUGGGAAGUCAUUAAGAGUAUAUGAUUGAUCCCUGCAAAUGGGAGCCUUUUGAUGAAUUAUCUUUGGUCCGUUCAUUUGGGAUCCCACGUAAUUAUAGGCUCCCAUAACUGAACCUUUUCUGGAGCUAUUGGAAGCCAUGAAGCUGCUAGCCCUUUUGUCAGCUGGGUAAGGCAUUGUAAACCCUGUCCACCUUCGUGUCCUGCUAUUAAUGUAUCAUCCAUGUAAUGGACAAUAUACAUGCUGUUCAAGAACCUCUGAUUGUUUGUAUGGCCUUAGCAAGGUAUUUUUUGGCAUAGGGUGGGACUAUUGGCCGUUCCUUGAGGCAAGACUCUCCACUGAUAGUGCCUCAUAGGUUCUUUAAAAUUUAUAGAUGGUAGACUAAAGGCAAACCUUUUCUGAUCAUCAGGAUAUACAGGAAUUAUUUAAAAAAAGCACUCUUUUAAAUCAAUUGUUACCUUAAAAUAACCUAGAGGUAUAGCCACGGGAGAAGGCAGCCCAGGUUGGAGGGCACCCAUGAGUACCAUGGUAGCAUUCACAGCUCUUGUAACAGCCUCCAUUUGCCAGAUUUUUUUCUUAAUAACAAAGAUAGGAGUAUUCCAAGGAGAGUUACUCUCUUGAAUCUGUCCUGCUUCCAAUUGUUCCUGCACUGACAAUUGUGCUAAUUGUAGUUUUUCAGAGGUUAAAGACCAUUGAUCGACCCCUAUGGGCUCAUCAGACUUCCAGAUAAUUGGAUUAGCAUACCCUUGGGGUGCAGGCACAUCAAUGGCGGAAAUCAAAAAUUUCCCAAUCCCCUUUUCAUCCUUCUGGCCUGUGGCUGAGAUAGGUUGUAGAGCCGUUUUCUCGCUUUCCCAAUCCUUUUCCGGGCCUGUGUCCCUGGGCCAACAUCUGAGCAGCAAUCUCCUCAUUAGAACGACACAUUAUAACUAUCAUCGGGGAAAGCAAGCCCCUCCCCCAUAAAUUCACAGGCAAAUGAGGAAUUACAAAAGGCUUAAUGAGGCCUGAAUUAUUUUCCUUAUCUUUCCAAGUAAGGUAUUUUGAACUUUGUCUCGGGUUGAUACUCUGACCAAUCCCUCUCAGUUAGUUAAUGUCUCUACAGUAGGCCAAUGGGAGGGCCAAUCUCCUUGUUUAAUAACAGUCACAUUGGCUCCUGUAUCAAUUAAUCCUGUAAAUAGCUUUCCUUCUAGCUAAAGUUUGAGGGAAGGUAUCUGAGCAGUCAUCUCCUGUACCCAGUAAAUAUUUGAUGAUCCAAAACCCCCAUCUCCUCUUUUGGGAUGUUGUAUUUUAUUGUCAGUUUUCAUUAGGGGAAGCAAUAUUAACUGAGCUAUCCUCUCACCCUGGGGAACGG